CUCUUUCCUUCACGACUAUCCGCUCCCAGCCUUACUCAGAACUACUCAAAGCAUGCAUAAUGUCUCAGAGUUUCCCUGGACAGAAGCCACACCACUCAAAAUCAAUCCGUUUUUUUAUUUACAAAAAUGUCUGUCUCGAGAAGGAGAGAAAGGUUGGAGUGGAAAUGCCACAGCCCUUCUCAGGCAGGGAAAAAUACCUGUUCGGCUCUUAAGACUUCCCUCCCAUUUGGUUCAUAGCAGCAACAGUAGAAGGCCAAAGGAGGAGUGUGGAGAGGGGAUAAAGUGGAUUUAUGUGGACAGAUCACAGUGUAAGGGUGUGCUUUCCCCAAACGAAGGCUAAUACCGAGAAAGUGGUCGUCGGUCGGGUUACCCCGUCUGCUGGUGGGACUGGGCAAGUGGUGGUUCACCUUGUGCAAGUAGAAGGGGGUCGCAGAGUGUUUUCAGGAUUCGUUGGGCAGUGCUGGAGAACAUUUAUCCCCUUCCUCCAUAAAAAUAUCCAAGAAGGGAGAGGCCGGCAUUUGUACGCCAACUAGGCCAAGGGAUGGGCCUGGUGUAAUCUGGCAGCCGAUCAUCAACGGAAGCUUCCCCCAGAGGUGCUUCUGUAAUACUGGAGUGGUGCUUAUGUGUCAAGGAAUCAGGAGUGGUCGUGAAGGGCAAGGUUCAAAAGGAAGGAUCACAGACCGGUGACGAACCUAGGAAAGGCUAGAGGGAGGCUAGCCAACUCCAAGGGUGGAAGAGGAGAUGGGCUGCGUGGUUUCUACGCGGUUCCUUAAAAAUCCCAAAUGUGUAAAACACAGCAUUUUGGAAGAUUGGGGUGGGUGGGAUGGAUAAUAACAGGACCACACACACCCCAACCCACUCCCAGGCUUCGGUAGCAAAAAGAGACCACCCUCCCUAAAUUGAUCUCGGCAUGGCCAGGGGCCGGUCCGUUGUGCUUAGGCGUCACCAAAACGGAAAGAAAAAAACACUCGGAAGCAUUUCCACGGCAAAAAAGAAGUCUGUACCA
rnacentral:lncRNA from 1 species